rnacentral:rRNA from 1 species
UGCGUAGGUGGGCAGGUAAGUCAGUGGUGAAAUCUUUGGGCUUAACCCGAAAACUGCCAUUGAUACUAUUUGUCUUGAAUAUUGUGGAGGUCAGCGGAAUAUGUCAUGUAGCGGUGAAAUGCUUAGAUAUGACAUAGAACACCAAUUGCGAAGGCAGCUGGCUACACAUAUAUUGACACUGAUGCACGAAAGCGUGGGGAUCAAACA